CGGGUGAGUAACACGUGGGUGACCUGCCCUCCACUCUGGGAUAAGCCCGGGAAACUGGGUCUAAUACCGGAUAGGACCUCUCAACGCAUGUUGGGUGGUGGAAAGUUUUUUCGGUGGGGGAUGGGCCCGCGGCCUAUCAGCUUGUUGGUGGGGUGAUGGCCUACCAAGGCGGUGACGGGUAGCCGGCCUGAGAGGGCGACCGGCCACACUGGGACUGAGACACGGCCCAGACUCCUACGGGAGGCAGCAGUGGGGAAUAUUGCGCAAUGGGCGGAAGCCUGACGCAGCGACGCCGCGUGGGGGAUGACGGCCUUCGGGUUGUAAACCUCUUUCGCCAGGGACGAAGCUUUUGUGACGGUACCUGGAGAAGAAGCACCGGCCAACUACGUGCCAGCAGCCGCGGUAACACGUAGGGUGCGAGCGUUGUCCGGAAUUAUUGGGCGUAAAGAGCUCGUAGGCGGUGUGUCGCGUCGGCCGUGAAAACUUGGGGCUUAACUCUGAGCGUGCGGUCGAUACGGGCAUCACUUGAGUUCGGCAGGGGAGACUGGAAUUCCUGGUGUAGCGGUGAAAUGCGCAGAUAUCAGGAGGAACACCGGUGGCGAAGGCGGGUCUCUGGGCCGAUACUGACGCUGAGGAGCGAAAGCGUGGGGAGCGAACAGGAUUAGAUACCCUGGGUAGUCCACGCCGUAAACGUUGGGCGCUAGGUGUGGGGACCAUUCCACGGUUUCUGCGCCGCAGCUAACGCAUUAAGCGCCCCGCCUGGGGAGUACGGCCGCAAGGCUAAACUCAAAGGAAUUGACGGGGGCCCGCA
rnacentral:rRNA from 1 species